CUUGGUAUGCCUUAUUUGACGAACGAACAGACCAAGCACAGACCUCGCUUGCUUUUUAGCAGUUAUUUCAAAAGAUCUGCAUCACCAGCAAGAUCGGUAUUGUACCCGUUAGUGACGUCGAUGUCGUCCUCCUUGGUCGUCAGCGCUCUGCUAAUGAUAUUGUCAUCAGCCCUCUGCAAUGCGACGACAGGAACGACCACUACAACAACUGACCUAAAGGUAGCGCCCUCUACAAUUUCUUCGCAUCCUACUCCACCCACGCCGUUCCAUGACCGGCUCGCACCACCAUCAUCCUGUGGGGCUAACAUCACGGCCAUGGAAAAGA